GCCUUGGUGGUGCAAUGGUAACACGCGAACCCUGGGGAGGGUAAGAGGCAGGUUCAACUCCUGUCUGAGGUC